GAUGAACGCUGGCGGCGUGCCUAACACAUGCAAGUCGAACGGAAAGACGAUGCGCUUGUUCCUUUGUCGUUAGCGGCGGGCGGGUGAGUAACGCGUGGAUAAUCUCCUUAUCUGUCUGGGAUAACUACGGGAAACCGGAUCUAAUACCGGAUAAUAUAUUGAACCGCAUGGUGCAUUAGUGAGAGACGGCUUUGGUGUAUGUAAUAGCUGGUUCCGCGCUGUAUUGUCUAGUUGGUAAGGUAACGGCCUACCAAGGCUACGAUGCGUAGCCGAGCUGAGAGGGUGAUCGGCCACACUGGAACUGAGACACGGUCCAGACUCCUACGGGAGGCAGCAGUAGGGAAUCUUCGGCAAUGGGCGAAAGCCUGACGCAGCAACGCCGCGUGAGUGAUGAAGGUCUUCGGAUCGUAAAGCUCUGUUAUUAGGGAAGAACAAAUGUGGAAGGAACUAUGGCCGGCUUGACGGUACCUAAUCAAAAAGCCCCGGCUAACUACGUG
rnacentral:rRNA from 1 species